rnacentral:rRNA from 1 species
GUGGGGAAUAUUGGACAAUGGGCGAAAGCCUGAUCCAGCAAUGCCGCGUGAGUGAUGAAGGCCCUAGGGUUGUAAAGCUCUUUUACCCGGGAUGAUAAUGACAGUACCGGGAGAAUAAGCUCCGGCUAACUUCGUGCCAGCAGCCGCGGUAAUACGAGGGGAGCUAGCGUUGUUCGGAAUUACUGGGCGUAAAGCGCGCGUAGGCGGUUUUUUAAGUCAGAGGUGAAAGCCCGGGGCUCAACCCCGGAAUUGCCUUUGAAACUGGAAAACUAGAAUCUUGGAGAGGUCAGUGGAAUUCCGAGUGUAGAGGUGAAAUUCGUAGAUAUUCGGAAGAACACCAGUGGCGAAGGCGACUGACUGGACAAGUAUUGACGCUCAUGCACGAAAGCGUGGGGAGCAAACAGGAUUAGAAACCCUAGUAGUCC